GAGGUAUGGAGGUGGAAACCAGUCUUUCAAACUGGCUACGCGGGUUCGAUUCCCGUCAUCCCCU
rnacentral:tRNA from 1 species